AUUGAACGCUGGCGGCAGGCCUAACACAUGCAAGUCGAGCGGCAGCGGGAAAGUAGCUUGCUACUUUUGCCGGCGAGCGGCGGACGGGUGAGUAAUGCCUGGGGAUCUGCCCAGUCGAGGGGGAUAACUACUGGAAACGGUAGCUAAUACCGCAUACGCCCUACGGGGGAAAGCAGGGGACCUUCGGGCCUUGCGCGAUUGGAUGAACCCGGGUGGGAUUAGCUAGUUGGUGAGGUAACGGCUCACCAAGGCGACGAUCCAUAGCUGGUCUGUGAGGAUGAGCAGCCACACUGGAAAUGAGACACGGUCCAGACUCCUACGGGAGGCAGCAGUGGGGAAUAUUGCACAAUGGGGGAAACCAUGAUGCAGCCAGGCCGCGUGUGUGAAGAAGGCCUUCGGGUUGUAAAGCACUUUCAGCGAGGAGGAAAGGUUGGUAGCUAAUAACUGCCAGCUGUGACGUUACUCGCAGAAGAAGCACCGGCUAACUCCGUGCCAGCAGCCGCCGUAAGAC
rnacentral:rRNA from 1 species